CCUACGGGAGGCAGCAGUGGGGAAUUUUGGACAAUGGGCGCAAGCCUGAUCCAGCAAUGCCGCGUGAGUGAAGAAGGCCUUCGGGUUGUAAAGCUCUUUUGUCAGGGAAGAAACGGUGAGGGCUAAUAUCUCUUGCUAAUGACGGUACCUGAAGAAUAAGCACCGGCUAACUACGUGCCAGCAGCCGCGGUAAUACGUAGGGUGCAAGCGUUAAUCGGAAUUACUGGGCGUAAAGCGUGCGCAGGCGGUUUUGUAAGUCUGUCGUGAAAUCCCCGGGCUCAACCUGGGAAUUGCGAUGGAGACUGCAAGGCUAGAAUCUGGCAGAGGGGGGUAGAAUUCCACGUGUAGCAGUGAAAUGCGUAGAGAUGUGGAGGAACACCGAUGGCGAAGGCAGCCCCCUGGGUCAAGAUUGACGCUCAUGCACGAAAGCGUGGGGAGCAAACAGGAUUAGAUACCCUGGUAGUCCACGCCCUAAACGAUGUCUACUAGUUGUCGGGUUUUAAUUAACUUGGUAACGCAGCUAACGCGUGAAGUAGACCGCCUGGGGAGUACGGUCGCAAGAUUAAAACUCAAAUGAAAUUGACGG
rnacentral:rRNA from 1 species